CAGGCUAAGUGAUUCUCCUGCCUCAGCCUCCCAAGUAGCUGGGAUUAAUAGGCUCGUGCCACCACACCCAGCUAAUUUUGUAUUUUUAGUAGAGAUGGGGUUUCUCCACAUUGGCCAGGCUGGUCUCAAGCUCCCAACCUCAGGUGAUCCGCCCGCCUCGGCCUCCCAAAGUGCUGGGAUUACAGGCGUGAGCCACCAUGCCCAGCCUGACAACAUAUUUUUAGAGUUUUAUUAGCUUUUUACAAAAUGCCAGAAGGCCAAAAUUAAUUUCUAAAUUAAUUUGAAAAAGUAGCACCUAAGUUCAUUUUGAUAGUAACUACUUCCAGAUAAAAUCCUACAUGAGUAUUGUGCCAAUGUCAGUUUCCUGAUUUUGAUAAAUUCUAUGUCAUCACUGGGGGAAUCUGGGUAAUGGGCAUAGGGGAUCUAUUUUGCAACUUCUUUUGAGUGUAUAAUUACAUCAAGAUGAAAAGUUAAAAAAAAACUAUAUAAGAAAUACAAAACUGUGCUAGGAGCUUUACUUAUUUUUAAGAGAAAAGCUCCAGUAUAUCCUAAAACUAUUAAUUAUGUGAUGAAAUUAAGAACCAAAAUAGAGACUAGCUUAAAAUACAUGUUGAUUCUUGAACCAGUAGAUAUAUGAAUAUGGCUUUUCUCUAGUCAACUGUGAAUUGCUCUGGAAGAUGAAACUCUAUGGCCUUUUAUUUUAUUUUUUAGGGUCCCUAAUAGUGAAGAAGCAUCCUCUUUUUUUUUGAGACGGAGUUUCACUGUUGUUGUCCAGGCUGGAGUGCAGUGGCUUAAUCUCAGCUCACUGCAAAUCUCCGCCUCCCGGGUUUUAGUGAUUCUCCUGCCUCAGCCUCCCAAGUGGCUGGGAUUACAGGCAUGAGCCACCACGCCCAGCUAAUUUUUUUGUAUUUAGUAGAGAUGGGGUUUCACCAUGUUGGUCAGGCUGGUCUUGAACUCCUGACCUUAGGUGAUCCACCCGCCCUGGCCUACCAAAGUGCUGGGAUUACAGGCGUGAGCCACCGCACCCAGCCAAGAAACAUCCUCUUAAAGAGAGUUCUUACUUUUCACAGCAUAGUUAAGACAUCUCUUGAGACCUAGAGAUGGAUAAGCAACAAACAGUAUUAAACUUCCAUUAGUGUGUUUUUGGAAUUUAUUAAAAACAAGAGGAUACACAUCACAUACUUGACUGUUGCAGCAUAAGAACUGACAAAAUUGGCUGGGCGCAGUGGCCCACGCCUAUAAUCCCAGCACUCUGGGAGGCUGAGGUGGGUGGAUCACCUAAGGUUAGGAGUUCGAGACCAGCCUGGCCAACAUGGUGAAACCCCGUCUGUACUAAAAAUACAAAAAUUAGCCGGGCGUGGUGGCAGGUGCCUGUAAUCCCAGUUGAUCGGAAGGCUGAGGCAGGAGAAUCGCUAGAACCCUGGAGGCAGAGGUUGCAGUGAGCCCAGAUGGUGCCACUGCACUCCAGCCUGGGUGACGAAGACUUUGCCUCAAAACAAAAAAACAAAAAACUGACAUUUACUAUUAACCCAAAUUUUGAAUUCACUUGUAAGAGAGCCCCCUUAUCCUCGGCUUCUGUUUGCUGCCACGAAAUGGUAUCUACUAACCAGUCCCUUAGGUGUGCAUAGCACUACAGUGCGCUCUGGCAUGGCCUCACAUAUACUGACAAGGAACUUAAAGCUCAGGGAAGUGAAGUGAAUCCUUCCUAUAGAAAGUGGGAGGUCAGCCAGGCGUGGUGGCUCACACCUGUAAUCCCAGCACCUUGGGAGGCCGAGGCAGGCGGAUCACCUGAGAUUGGGAGUUCAAGACCAGCCUGACCAACAUGGAGAAACCCUAUCUCUACUAAAAAAAUGCAAAAUUAGCCAGGCGUGGUGGCGCCUGCCUAUAAUCCCAGCUACUUGAGAGGCUGAGGCAGGGAGAAUCGCUUGAACCCGGGAGACGGAGGUUGCGGUGAGCCAAGAUUGGUGCUACUGCACUCUAGCCUGGAGCCUGGGGUGACAAGAGCAAGAAGACUCUGUGUCUAAAAAAAAAAAGGGAGAAGUCAAGACAGGAACCUGGGUUUUAGGCCAGUACUUUGUUGUGUGACAUAACCAUCUUUGAGAACUCAACAGUGCAUAAAGUGGCAGCUAACACGCAGCUGAUUUCCUAUUGGCAUCUUACUUAGCAACAGAGAAGAGUGUCAGAAGUCCCGGGCUUGACCUAUGCCACGAGAACUCUUUAGAAUUAACUUGCUUUGUGUGCUGGUUGAGGAAUAAGUUGACAGGCAGAAGGUGCUAGGGGAUGUGUUCCGGUGGUAGUGUGGCAUUGGCAUGGCGGCUAGGCACAUUUGCUUAGCCAGGAAAAAUCAGGGAAAAGGUAUAUGCUUGCAAACACAAGUAAAAAUACAAAGGUAAGAUGGAAAGCAAACAGAACUAAUGAAACAUAUUCUUGACCAUAUGACCAAGAAAAGGUAGUGGAGGGGAGGGGAGAGGCAAAAAGUCUCAGAAGCAGACAAAGUUCUGCAAGUGCUGCAUUCAGACAUCCAGUCAGCAGGGACUUACUGCACCCCUGGGUCAGGCAGUGCGUCAUGACAGUGCACAGGAAGCUGAGUCCCUGCGCUUGGGGAGCUGUCCCUCUUUGGCCAGGGUGCCGCGCACACGGGCCUGCGUGAUCUGGAACUUAACUGUUUCUACUACUCCCAGGUAUCUUUUACUGUUUUUCUCCAUCUCCACUGGCCAAGGCAGUCUUGUCUCAGUUCAGGACUACAGUAGCCUCUGUCCAUUAAGUCUUCCCGUUUCCUUUUGCUUCUCUCCGAUCUGUCCUCCACACAACAGCCACUGUCCUCUUAAAUCACAUCACCUUCCUCUCCUGCUUAGGAUCUUUCAGUGGCACCCACUACACUUUUCCAGGCCCCUCCUCCUCCUGACAGCCACUUUCUGGAAGCUGCUCAGCUGUUUCCUACUUCAGGGUCUCACACAUUGUCUGCUUCCUCCACUGGUAACAUGCCUACCUGUUCACUCCCCUCCCUCAGCUUCCAUUCUAACCCUUCAGAGCUUAACACCUCACAGGUCCCAUUAUCAGUCCUCAUUGCUCCCAUUGUUCAUUACCUUUUUAUUUAGCACUUAAUAUAAGAUGUAAUCAUAAUUAACAUUAUCUGCUUUAAAUUCCAUAAGGGAAGGGGAUGUGUUUUCGCAGGAUCCAGCAUGGGGCUGGGAUUUAACAAAUGUCUGUUGACUGAACGUCCCAAGCCUGCAUCUUCAUCUGUAAAAUGCCAUAAAUGACACCCAGCCUUUAGAUGACAAAAACAGUUCUCAUGUAUGGGGCCCUCACUAUGUACCAGAUAAUAUAGUUUAUAUGCAGUUGUCACAAAAUAAUUCCCACCUCUCUGCCCAUUUUACCAAUGAGAAAACUGAGCUACAGGGAUUUAAAAUAAUCUGCCUCACACAGAAUUAGAAAGGGAUGAAGUUGCAACUUCAACCCAGAUAAUUUGAGCCCUCACUCUUCACUCUGGAGAGUGGCAAGACAGUGCAGGAGCCCAUUUGUCCACUGUGGACUUGCCAUCUCCAUGACAGGCCAAGGCAGGUGCAGAUUCCUUGGGUGGCCUUAAGCAAGAAGCAAAGCCUGCCAAAGGGCCCAGAGUAACCGGGACCUCGUCCUAAAAAUCAGAAUGAGUCAAACCAAGUCUACACAUCAGAACUGGUUUCUUCUGUCACGUUCUCCUUGAUGUGGACUCCCACCCCCAACGUUGUUUCUGAUAGUAACCCCAGAAUCCAGUUCUCUUUCAGUUGUUAAAGGUAAAAACAAACAGCUCAUUUCCACUGUAUACUUUCAUAAUAUGUGAAAAAGAUUGCACAAAUUAUGUUUCAUUCUAAAGAAUAAGAGUUUCAAGAAUACAUUAAACUUCAAAGAAUCUUCGCUUGUGCUUAAAAAUAAUGCUGUCAAAUUGCUUCAUACACUUUAUAAGACUUUAGGCAAGAAACAUUACUAAUGGUAUCAUAAAUAAGUAUUAUAACUUUAUUAAAAUGAAAAGACAAUAUUCAAAAUAAUGCAACAAAAU
rnacentral:lncRNA from 10 species